rnacentral:rRNA from 1 species
AGGAUUGAAAUGGGCGCAAGCCUGAUGCAGCCUGCCGCGUGUAUGAAGAAGGCCUUCGGGUUGUAAAGUACUUUCAGCGGGGAGGAAGGGAGUAAAGUUAAUACCUUUGCUCAUUGACGUUACCCGCAGAAGAAGCACCGGCUAACUCCGUGCCAGCAGCCGCGGUAAUACGGAGGGUGCAAGCGUUAAUCGGAAUUACUGGGCGUAAAGCGCACGCAGGCGGUUUGUUAAGUCAGAUGUGAAAUCCCCGGGCUCAACCUGGGAACUGCAUCUGAUACUGGCAAGCUUGAGUCUCGUAGAGGGGGGUAGAAUUCCAGGUGUAGCGGUGAAAUGCGUAGAGAUCUGGAGGAAUACCGGUGGCGAAGGCGGCCCCCUGGACGAAGACUGACGCUCAGGUGCGAAAGCGUGGG